AAAUCCCCGCCCCCUCCACCGUACUAUUACAAAUCCCCACCACCACCUCCCUACAAAUACGAAUCGCCGCCGCCUCCUCCUUACAAAUACGAGUCCCCACCUCCACCACCUUACUAUUACAAGUCCCCACCACCACCUCCAUACAAAUAUGAAUCCCCGCCACCUCCAGUCUACAAAUAUGAGUCUCCGCCACCCCCAGUUUACAAAUACAAGUCGCCACCACCACCAUACAAGUACGAGUCACCACCACCACCUCCAUACAAGUAUGAAUCCCCGCCACCUCCACCUUAUUACUACAAGUCCCCUCCACCACCACCAUACAAGUACGAGUCGCCACCACCUCCUCCGUACAAGUAUGAAUCUCCACCACCACCAGUUUACAAAUACAAGUCACCUCCGCCGCCACCUUAUUACUACAAAUCCCCACCGCCACCUCCAUACAAGUACGAGUCUCCACCUCCUCCUCCGUACAAGUAUGAAUCUCCACCACCACCACCUUAUUACUACAAAUCCCCCCCGCCACCUCCAUACAAGUACGAGUCACCGCCUCCUCCUCCGUACAAGUAUGAAUCUCCACCACCGCCAGUUUACAAAUACAAGUCACCCCCGCCACCACCUUAUUACUACAAAUCCCCGCCACCACCUCCAUACAAGUACGAGUCUCCACCUCCUCCUCCGUACAAGUAUGAAUCUCCACCACCACCUCCUUAUUACUACAAAUCCCCGCCGCCACCUCCCUACAAGUAUGAAUCCCCGCCACCACCUCCCUACAAAUACGAGUCACCUCCACCACCACCUUACUAUUACAAAUCUCCUCCACCGCCUCCAUACAAGUAUGAGUCGCCACCACCACCAGUCUACAAAUACGAGUCUCCGCCACCCCCAGUUUACAAAUACAAGUCGCCCCCUCCACCUUAUUACUACAAGUCUCCGCCACCCCCGCCAUACAAAUAUGAAUCCCCACCUCCACCUCCCUACAAGUAUGAAUCGCCUCCUCCUCCACCUUACUACUACAAGUCCCCUCCACCACCUCCCUACAAAUAUGAAUCCCCGCCACCACCUCCCUAUAAAUACGAGUCACCACCACCACCACCUUACUAUUACAAAUCUCCUCCACCGCCUCCAUACAAGUAUGAGUCGCCACCACCACCUCCCUACAAAUACGAGUCACCACCACCACCACCUUACAAGUAUGAAUCCCCACCUCCACCUCCGUACAAGUAUGAAUCACCUCCACCGCCUCCAUACAAGUAUGAAUCCCCUCCUCCACCUCCCUACAAAUACGAGUCACCACCCCCACCACCUUAUUACUACAAAUCGCCUCCGCCACCGGAGUAUCAAUCAC
rnacentral:lncRNA from 1 species